AUGGGACCUGCCUUUUUAAUGGGACAUCCCGGCAACAGGCCUACUCAUGCAUGUGGCCAAGUACUCGACCAAUCCUCGGAGCGAAGGGAUGAACGAAUUCUCGAGGUCUGGUUCAUUGAGAUAACUGGUGAUGCUAGAGCUAUCAAGAAGGCAUUGUUUGCAGUAUCAACCAUCAUCUACAAAUGCCCAUCAAAAGAGACCAUUUCUCUGGAAACUUCUGUCCCUCCAAGCAUUGUACAUCCUUCAGAGCUUCCUGUCUAUCCUGCUAGUAACUUCUACUCAGUGUCAGAUGCAGCUAUACCUUAUGGAAUGGACAUCCAAAUCUAG
rnacentral:rRNA from 1 species